rnacentral:hammerhead_ribozyme from 1 species
GCCCUGAUGAAGAGUCCCAUACUAGGACGAAACGGCUGUCCAGUGC